CUUCUCGUCCCGUACGUUGUCGCGGUAACAUAUGAUGUGCGUGCAAUUAUUGUUUUUAAAAUUUACUCGAAUAGUUAAUUUAUUAUUUACUUUAUUAUUGUGAGUUGUGAGCCCUGAAGACUAGUAGGUAUUUAGAAUAUCUUAUAGGUGCGAAUCACCACUAUUCUUUUAUUUCAUUAUAUUUUUGUAUUGACGCGAAUCGCCAGUACUUAAAAACUAUGUAGACGCUAAUCGUCACAUUUUUUUUGAUAUAUUGUGUGCGAUAAUCGCCACUACAUUUAUAUUUUAUUUAUUACGUGUUCGCGAAUUGUCACCUUUUUCAGUACUAUUAUUACUGUUUUAUUGGCGCUAAUCGCCACAUUUAUUAUUUACCUACUUAUAAUUAUUGUAAACUAGUGUCUGCGCGUGUGCAAUUAUUAUAUAUUAUAUAUGUAGGCCAGAUUAGGAGCACCGACAAAGUUAUUAAGUCAAGUACAAGGACUUUUAGAACAUCUCCAUUCAAUCGGACAUACAUCAUAUUUUUUAUUAGGAGAUUCAGGGUAUGGACUCUGACCAUGAAUACAGACACCGCUAUAUAAUCCAGAACCAAAUACUCCAGCGGAACAGUACAACAAAUGGCUAUGUAAAACAAGAUCUAUUAUAGAGCGUUGUAAUGGAGUACUCAAAAUGCGUUUUCGUUUAAUACAGAUGCCUACUUAAGCACAGAGUACUUCAUUAUCAUCCUGAAAAAGCUGCAACUAUAAUCAACGCAUGCACAAUACUACAUAACAUUUGUAUAGCUAAUUAAUUGCCUAUUAUUAAUAAUAAUGAUGAAGUCGAAGCAGAGGAUCUAGAUGUAAUUUCUGAUAUAGUACCUAUAAACGAUGGAGGAAAUAGAAUAAACCCAGAGCUCUCUGCAGGAAGAAAUUUUCAACAACAUUUAAUCCAAUUGUAUUUCACAUAACAGUCACAUUUUAUAAUGAAAAAUGUUGUUAUAUUUUGAACUAAUAAAAACUUUUUUUAUAUUUGAA